AACGCUAGCUACAGGCUUAACACAUGCAAGUCGAGGGGCAGCAUGAUUGAAGCUUGCUUCAAUCGAUGGCGACCGGCGCACGGGUGAGUAACACGUAUCCAACCUGCCGAUAACUCGGGGAUAGCCUUUCGAAAGAAAGAUUAAUACCCGAUAGUAUAGUAUUUCCGCAUGGUUUCACUAUUAAAGAAUUUCGGUUAUCGAUGGGGAUGCGUUCCAUUAGAUAGUUGGCGGGGUAACGGCCCACCAAGUUGACGAUGGAUAGGGGUUCUGAGAGGAAGGUCCCCCACAUUGGAACUGAGACACGGUCCAAACUCCUACGGGAGGCAGCAGUGAGGAAUAUUGGUCAAUGGACGAGAGUCUGAACCAGCCAAGUAGCGUGAAGGAUGACUGCCCUAUGGGUUGUAAACUUCUUUUAUACGGGAAUAAAGUGGAGUAUGCAUACUCCUUUGUAUGUACCGUAUGAAUAAGGACCGGCUAAUUCCGUGCCAGCAGCCGCGGUAAUACGGAAGGUCCGGGCGUUAUCCGGAUUUAUUGGGUUUAAAGGGAGCGUAGGCCGGAGAUUAAGCGUGUUGUGAAAUGUAGAUGCUCAACAUCUGAACUGCAGCGCGAACUGGUUUCCUUGAGUACGCACAAAGUGGGCGGAAUUCGUGGUGUAGCGGUGAAAUGCUUAGAUAUCACGAAGAACUCCGAUUG
rnacentral:rRNA from 1 species